rnacentral:lncRNA from 1 species
AAAAAAAGAGGCAUUUUAAAAAAAAGACAUUUAAUAUUGAUUAUUAUAUUAAGAAAGGCUCUUCAAUAACUCCGUACGUAAGUGCUAAAAACUAUUCAAUUGUUUUUGGAGAGCAUGAGCUUUAUACAUUAUAAAAAGAGAUAAAAUUAUACUUCUUUUACAUGCAUAAUAAAAGAAACAAUAUGGCUGAAAUUCUUAAGAUUAUUUAUGCGAUGAUUCUAUUUCUUUCCUUAUUUGUUGAUUCGGCGAAAUAUGAUCGUAAGCUACUUUUUCAUCUUUUUCAAAUUUUCUUAUAUAUUAUACUGUGUACACAAAUAUUUUAUCUCGUUUUAGUAACAUUAUUUUAGGGGUAUUAGAUUGAGAUUUCAAUGGAUUUGACAAGACUUUUUUAUGAUAUUCAAUCAAGAUUUUUACAAAAGGUAAAAAAAAAUUGUCGUAUUGAAUUAAGACAAUUAAGUUUUUUCUUUUUCAAGGCAACAAAAUUUCUUGAUAUUCAAUUAAGAUUUCUCAUGGCAGUAGACAUGGCUGUAGAUACUAUUGCAGUCGAGGAUCCAGGUCGCAUGCGUACGCACUUUUUCAUUCUUUUUUAGUUUUCUUAUUUACUUUGUACACAACAUUGUAUCUCAUUUUAAUUACAUUGUUUUAUUCUCUUAUUUCAUUAUUAUAGCACCUGUACAUGAAUGUGAAAACGAUGACGAUUGUUUUGGAAAAGCACCUCCUUAUGAUAUGGUGUGCCUUGAGCACAAUUGUGAAAAAGUGAGGUAUAUAUAUGAAGGUGUAUAUGAUGGAAUCCCAUGAGGGGGAAGAAUGAGAGCUCUUUAGCUAGCAUAAUAUCUAUAUGCAAUAUAGCUUAUUCUAAAAUAUUUCAUGAGUUGUUAUUUAGUUAUUGAGAUGGUACCAGUAAUAAUUAAAAUAAGAAU